UCGUCGGGGUCUCAUCCGGAGGGUCUCCGGUAUCUCACCGGGGUUUCACCCGCCGCGAUGGCCCGCCGUUGCGUUUGGGCGGGUGUCCUUAGUUGGAUGCCCGCUUUCGGACGCGACCCCUUUACCUUGAACAAAUCGGAGUGCUCAAAGCAGGCUCCACCUCGCUCGAACGGUAGCGCAUGGAAUAAUGGAAGAGGACCGGCUUCCGCUUCUAUUGGUCUCACGGAGGCAGGUAAUGAUCAAGAGGAACGGACGGGGGCGGAGGUAUGGCCCGGCGAGAGGUGAAAUUCUUGGACCCCGGCCAGACCCUCGAGAGCGAAAGCAUCCGCCAAGGAUGUUUCCAUUGAUCAAGAACGAAAGUCGCGGGAUCGAACGGGAUUAGAUACCCCGGUAGUCGCGACCGUAAACGAUGCCAACCGGGAAUUCGACGGCGUUACUUCCAUGACCCGUCGAGCGCCCGACCCGGGAAACCGAGAGUCUUUGGGUUCCGGGGGGAGUAUGGUUGCAAAGCUGAAACUUAAAGGAAUUGACGGAAGGGCACCACCAGGAGUGGAGCCUGCGGCUUAAUUUGACUCAACACGGGGAACCUCACCCGGCCCGGACACCGCGAGGAUUGACAGACUGAGAGCUCUUUCUCGAUUCGGUGGGUGGUGGUGCAUGGCCGUUCUUAGUUGGUGGAGCGAUCUGUCUGGUUAAUUCCGAUAACGAACGAGACCCCAACCUACUAAAUAGCCCUUGCGUCCGGCUCCUGCCGGGCGCGACGGAACAUUCGCUUCUUAGAGGGACUCGCGGGUUCUACCCGCAUGAAGUGGGGCGAUAACAGGUCUGUGAUGCCCUUAGAUGUUCGGGGCCGCACGCGCGCUACACUGAAGGCAUCAGCGUGCGCUUUGUCCGUUCCCGGCCUGAAAAGGCUGGGUAACCCGCUGAACCGCCUUCGUGCCUGGGAUAGGGAUUUGCAAUUAUCUCCCUUGAACGAGGAAUUCCCAGUAGGCGCGAGUCAUCAGCUCGCGUCGAUUACGUCCCUGCCCUUUGUACACACCGCCCGUCGCUACUACCGAUCGAACGAUUUUGCGAGGUA
rnacentral:rRNA from 1 species